AACGAACGCUGGCAGCAUGCCUAACACAUGCAAGUCGAACGAGACCUUCGGGUCUAGUGGCGCACGGGUGCGUAACGCGUGGGAACCUGCCCUUAGGUUCGGAAUAACUCCCCGAAAGGGGUGCUAAUACCGGAUAAUGUCUUCGGACCAAAGAUUUAUCGCCUUUGGAUGGGCCCGCGUUGGAUUAGCUAGUUGGUAGGGUAAAAGCCUACCAAGGCGACGAUCCAUAGCUGGUCUGGGAGGAUGAUCAGCCACACUGGGACUGAGACACGGCCCAGACUCCUACGGGAGGCAGCAGUAGGGAAUAUUGGACAAUGGGCGAAAGCCUGAUCCAGCAAUGCCGCGUGAGUGAUGAAGGCCUUAGGGUUGUAAAGCUCUUUUACCCGGGAUGAUAAUGACAGUACCGGGAGAAUAAGCUCCGGCUAACUCCGUG
rnacentral:rRNA from 1 species